rnacentral:lncRNA from 10 species
GGGCGGGGCCCUCAUAGAGGGCCCUCUACUAGGGCAGUACAGAAGGGAAAUGUGGGUUGGAGCCCCAACACAGAGCCCCACUGGGGACACUGCCUAGUGGAGCUUUGAGAAGAGGGCCACCAUUCUCCAGACCCCAGAAUGGUAGACCCACUGACAGCUUGCACUAUGCACUUGGAAAAGACACAGACACUCAACACCAGCCCAUGAAAGCAGCCAGAAGGGAGGCUGUACCCUGCACAGCUACAGGGGCAGAGCUGCCCAAGACCAUGGGAACCCAACUGUUGCAUCAGCAUGACCCAGAUGUGAGAAUUGGAGUCAAAGAAGAUCAUUUUGGAGCUUUAAGAUUUGACUGUCCUUCUAGAUUUUGGACUUACAUGAGAUGAUAAAACAUCAGUUGAAGAAGUUCAUUUGGGUAAAGAGAUGGAUAAUAUUUGGAUAUACAUGAACUCUUGGACCAUCAUCAAUAGCUUUGUUCUAUAUUAAGGCAUAAGGACAGAUGCUGAUACCAUCUCCUUUACAAGACUUGAAAUUUCUACCUUUGAACCAUGCAGGUCAUUUUGUUACUGUCAGUGGUCAGCAUAUCUACUGCGUUGUUGUGAACCAGGAUGACGUAUUGUUAAGGCAAUUAUCCGUGUUGAAGAGAAACACGUCGCUGCUGCUUGCUUGAUGUGGCUGCAACAACAAAGCUGUUUUGACUACUCUAGUAAAUUCUGAUGGGAUAAUGCGUCAUGUGUCCAGGACUUGAAGCUGCUAUUCCCUCAUGAUCCUGACACCUGGAAUUUGCACCUCACAGGACCCCAGCCUUGCUGCUCUGCCCAUUGACCUCUGCCACCCUCCAUACCGGGUGUGAGUUACCACCAGAAGAAGUCUGUGGCAGCAGCAGUCUUUGCCUUAUUCUGACAGUGCCAAAGUGUGUUUGGUGGGUGACUCAGCUGAGUUGAGCCUCUUGCCAACUCCCAACACAGGUGCAGAGUGCAUCUGAGCAUGGAGGUUCUUGACUCUUAUGACAUGAAAAGUGCAAUGUGAACAUAAAAUUGUGAAUGAUGUGACUAUUCCAAAAACACAAACAGACACUGGCAAGGAUCUGUUUUGCCAACAAAGCUACACAACUGCAGCAGAAAAGCUCCAUGGAGGAAAAACUACAGUGCAAAUAAAGGUUUCCAGCCGUCAAUGAUGCUAGCAAAGUGGAGGAAGGGUCACAGUAGGUCCCUCAGAAAGCUUCCCCAGCCACUUUCAUGAAAUUAACACCCUUGACCAUUUUCUCUUCCAAAAAGUAAGGAUUUUCUCUUUAAUGUCUCAUGCCUCUUCCAGCUUUAUUACUCUGUGAUUAUGUGUUCAUUUUUAAGGCAUAAUAAAUGUGAAAAAAAUGAGAUUGAUUUGAGUUUACUUUUUCUAAAAGUUCAUUCUAGAUGCAAUAAAUGAAGUUAGACAGUAAAACUCAGUAAAAAUGCUUUAUAAUAUAUGUAUAUAUGCUCUUUAAGAAAAAUUGCUUAACAUUUUUACCUCUUAAUUUGCUUUCGUGAUUCCAUGCAUUUUGUUGUACUUAUCAUGGCAAAAUUUAUUUGUGAAGUAUAUAUCAGAAAGCCUUGCUCUAUGAUCAACAAACUUUGGUUAACUUUUAACUUUCAACAUAACAUUAGAUAUUCACCUCUCCAUUUGUUCAGAGUUAAAUUGUCAUUACUCAUUUGCUUUUUUAUCUAAAUUAAGAUUUUCUUUAAGUCAACACAAUAAACGCCAUAUAUGCCAAGCCCACAGCUAACAUCAUAUUCAACCAUGAAAAGCUGAAACAUUAUCCUCUAAGAUCAGGAAGAAGACAAAUAUGCCCACUUUCCCUUUUUCUGUCAACACUGAAAGGGAAGUCUAACCCCGAGAAAUUAGGUAAGAGAAAAAAACUACAGGCAUCUAAACUGGAAUAGUAGUUAAACUGUCCUUGCUUGCAGACACAUGAUCUUACAUAUAGAAAACUCUAGGCCGGGCGCAGUGGCUCACGCCUGUAAUCCCUGCACUUUGGGAGGCCAAGGUGGG